AGUGUUUCUGUAACAAAAUUAACUCUUCUUUUCAGUACUUUAAUAAGAAUUAUUGUGCCAGUAAGCACUCAAAUUAGAAACGUAUAUAAUUAAUGAACUUCUUACAAAGAUCAGCUUGUAAUACCCGGACACACCUGGGCAAUCAGUAGUUCUGUUGAUUAUGGUGGAUACCCCAACAAGACAGUGGACGGAGACGUCAGUCAAAAUUCCUAUACAUACUGCAUGCAUACAGCUGGUUAUGAAAGUGAGGCUUGGCUAAUGAUUGACCUAGGAAAAAUUGACAUCAUCAAAUCAGUUAAGUUUUGGUAUAGAAAUGACUCUAACGUACCAGGGUAUAAUACGAGACGAAUACAAGGGUUUAAUAUCCGUCUAUCAAAUACAACUCAGACUGACCGGCAGGACAUUUGUUAUCAAGAUGAUGGAAAGACAAUCCUGCCUCCAAUUAUAGAACAACAAUGUAAAGGAGUAGCCCAGUUUGUUUGGAUUUACACAAAUAAAACGUUUAUUGAUGGCGCAGUCCUUGAAAUAUGUGAAGUGCAGGUUUAUGGUAAGCUAUUUGUUACAUUGUAAAAACUGUCUGAGCUGAUAUUGCUUGAUAUCGCAUUACCCAAUACUUAUUUCAUUUAGAUUUUAAGAACUCAAUCAUCACCUUUCGUUGCAUGUUGACUGAAAUACAUGUAGGUUGAACAGUAUGUUUGUGAACAAUAUGUUGGUGAAUUCAUUUAUGUUCAUUUUUUUUAUUUUUAUGCCCCCGUAAACGAAGUUUCGGGUUGAUGUCGUGAUGUAGGUUUUGUCGUGUCUGUCCGUCCGACUGUAUGUCUAGCUGUCUCUCUGUCUGUACAUGUUUCAUUGUCUAUUUGUCGGCAAAAACUUUAACCUUGCCCAUAACUUUUGAUUUAGUGGAGCUGUGACUUUCAUAUUUUACAUAUGUAAUCCUUGAUACACGUGCUUUCCUUGGGUACCACUAAAUUUGACCUUGAUUUUGGGGUUUGACCCACUUUUACACAGAAAUUCAAAACUUUUACUUUAGCCAUAUCGUUUGAACAGUAGAAACCAGACCAUGUAUACUUCACAGCUGUAUUUUUGUUGAGAAACCUUUCAUUGGAUGCCAACAAUUUUGAUCUGUUGACCUUGACCUUGGAGAUUUCCGUACUUGUGAAAAAACUUUAACCUUGAACAUAACUUUUGAACGGUAAAAGAUAGGGCUUUCAUACUUCAAAUAUUUCCUGUUUUUACCUGAUCUUGACAAGGAGCACACGGCGGGUGUGACCGGUCAACAGGGGAUGCUCACUCCUCCAUGGCACCUAAUACCACCUCUGAUAUUAUAGAGAUCCGUGUUUGCUCUGCUCCUAAUUUGUAUUGAUUAAUGGACUUUGAGAUUGAAUAUUGUUCGUUAUCUCCAUAUCUUUAUAUGUUAUCUUUGUGAAAAUACCUUUCAAUGGACCCACAAUAACUUUGACCAUUUGACCUUGGAGUUUGAACUACUUUCAAAAACCAAACCUUAACCGUAAUUUUAAAAGGGUAAGGGCUAGUGCUUUCAUUCUUUACAUAUUUCAUGCUUGUGACAAGACCUUUCGUUUGAAUGCCAGACCUUUGAGCCUUUGACCUUGGAGUUUGACCUACUUUUCAAAUUUUUCACCUCUGCUUAAGUUCUGAACGGUUAAGACCAGGGUUUCAAUGCUUUAGAUAUGUAUUCUAUGUGGCAUGACCUUUCAUUCGAUACCAAUUACCUUGACUUUUUAACUUUGACCUUGGAAAUUUUUGCACUUAUGAAAAAAAAAAUUAAUCUUGGCCAUAGCUUUUUAAAUUAAGGGCUAGUGAUAUCAUACUUCACUUAUGUAAUUCUUGUAAAGAGACCCUUCAUUUGAUACCAAGAACUUUGAUCCUUUGACCUUGGAGUUUUACUUAUUUUUAAAAUGUAAACCUUGACCAUUAUUUUUGAAGGGUAAGACCUCGUACUUUUUUACUUUACAUAUUUAAUCUUUGUAAAAGUACUUUCAUUUGAUAGCAAGAUCUUUGAUCUUGACCUCGGGGUUGACCUACGUUUUAAAAUCUUUAACUUUGACCAUAACUUCUAAAUUGUAAGGGCUAGGGCUUCCAUAUUUUACAUAUGUAAUUUUUGUGGCAAGACCUUUCAUUGGAUAACAAUGACCUUGAAGAUAUCUGAACCUUGGCCUACUUUCAUAAUUCAUAAUUGUAUUCUCAGUGAUUAUACCCUACUUUUGGUACCAAUAUAUUAAAUUUCCAUUUAAGAAAGGUUUAAUCUUUGCUAUGUUGCCUUACAAGGGCAUUAGUGUUUCACCAACACACCUUGUUUAUCUUAAAUAUGAUAGUUAGAUUUUUCCCGGCAUUGUUGUUUAAUUCAAAUGUCCUUAAGCGCCAAUUUAAUGUUAUGAUGUUGAACAUUUGCAAUUUAUGUUGUUAUUAAUGUUAUGAUGUUAAACAUUUGCAAUUUAUGUUGUUAUUCCUUUCGCUUGUCAAAUAUGCACACAUUCACACAACUGGAAAAAAAACUAUAGUAAAUGCUCCCUCUACACCUUCGUAGACUGAGAAGGAUUUUUUUUAAAUGUGCGUAUAUUUGAUUGACACAAGUAAUUGAUAAGUAUAAAUUAAAGAUAUUCUAUUCGAAUGUACCAGAGCAAUACGACCAUUUAACUGAGUUUUUUGGGGGGAAAUUUUGUGUGAUUUUCCUUAGACUAAUUUGUAUGAGUAGCAAUUGACAGUGGGAAAUGCCCCCCCCCCCCCC